UAGUUUGCAUUACCUCCAAGAGAAUAGCCAUGUUUGCUUUUCUCUGCUGCCACACCAGCAUGUUAUGUUUUGACUUAGGACAAAUGGCCACUCUGACCAGCGUGUGAUGGCACCGGUACCUCAUCUCUGAUGAUUGGUGAUGUUGAGCAUUCCCCACGCCUGUUGGAAUGGCAAUCCCUUGGAAAUGUCUUCUCAAUAGUUACUACCCAUAGUUUGGUUUGUUGCAGGCUUUCACACUACUAAUCUGGGCUGAAUCCUUGAAUUACUUUGUCUACCAAGGGUUUCAAAGAACUUGAUAAACUUGUUCUAAUUAGCCAACAUAUUCAUCCAUGUUGUCCGUAUACCAGGUGUAAAAAUAAAACGUUUCUUAAUGCACACAGG
ensembl:lncRNA novel transcript